rnacentral:rRNA from 1 species
UCGGGAAUUUUGGGCAAUGGGGGAAACCCUGACCCAGCAACGCCGCGUGAAGGAUGAAGUAUUUCGGUAUGUAAACUUCGAAAGAAUAGGAAGAAUAAAUGACGGUACUAUUUAUAAGGUCCGGCUAACUACGUGCCAGCAGCCGCGGUAAUACGUAGGGACCAAGCGUUGUUCGGAUUUACUGGGCGUAAAGGGCGCGUAGGCGGCAUGACAAGUCACUUGUGAAAUCUCUGGGCUUAACCCAGAACGGCCAAGUGAUACUGUCGCGCUAGAGUGCAGAAGGGGCAAUCGGAAUUCUUGGUGUAGCGGUGAAAUGCGUAGAUAUCAAGAGGAACACCUGAGGUGAAGACGGGUUGCUGGUCCGGUACUGACGCUGAGGUGCGAAAGCGUGGGGAGCAAACAGGAUUAGAUACCCUAGUAGUCCCUGAGCGGGCUGGCAAGGCGCAU